UACGAAGGGUGCAAGCGUUACUCGGAAUUACUGGGCGUAAAGCGUGCGUAGGUGGUGAGUUAAGUCUGUCGUGAAAGCCCCGGGCUCAACCUGGGAAUGGCGAUGGAUACUGGCUCGCUAGAGUGCGGUAGAGGAGAGUGGAAUUCCCGGUGUAGCAGUGAAAUGCGUAGAUAUCUGGAGGAACACCGGUGGCGAAGGCGGCAUCCUGGACCGACACUGACACUGAGGAGCGAAAGCCAGGGGAGCAAACGGG
rnacentral:rRNA from 1 species